rnacentral:rRNA from 1 species
GCCCUAUAAACUAAUAUUUUACGUUUAUGUUUAAAAAAAUCCUUUGUAUUAAAUAGUAUUCUAACAAAACUUCACACAACAAACANNCGCAAGGGUCACUACCUCUACGCCCACCACAGAAAAGAUAAAGACUUCUCCCUUUUGCAUCAUGGAGGAGCAACAAAACCGUAAAAUUUUNCUCUCCCGAAUAAUUAUGAGCUACUAAACCCUAAAACUUAAUGUUUCACAAUUAAAAGAUUAGCUUUUAGUAGAAGUAACAAGCCUUUCAUAUAAUUAAAUAGCUGGUUUUCCGCAAAAAGUAUCAAAAGUACUACCCGAUAGUANCGUUAUACUAAACUAAAACUAUAGGAGUCAACCUUUCAAGGACUAGCCUAAAAGGAAAAUUAAAAUAACCAAAUACCACAUCUUCAACGUAGGCUUAAAAGCAGCCAACUAAACAGCGNUCUAGCUAAUAAUCCUUCUUAACAACAUAAUAUUUAAAGCGUAAAUUUUAAUGAUAGCGAAAUCUAGUACCCAACACCCUUACUACCAAACAGGCAUCCUAUUAGUAUUAUAUGAUAAUAAAGUAUUAAANGUAUUAACAAAACUAUUACCAACAAAUAACUCCCACUUCAACCAUACAGAGUGAACUCGGCAACAAAGUUUCCCGUGCCUGUUUACCAAAAACAUCGUCUUUUGUCAAACCCACAUAAAAGAUAAUGCCUGCCCAGUGAAAGCUUUAAACGGCCGCGUUAGCGUGAGCGUGCUAAGGUAGCGUAAUAAAUAGCCUCUCAAUUGGAGGCCAGUGAAUGGCAAGACUAGGGACACCUGUACCCUGUAUAGAAAAACAAUUUUUCAUUUGGGUGAAAAGACCUAAAUAAUAAAGGAAGACGAAAAGACCCCGCGGAACUUUACCUUUUCCAGCCUCUACAUGCUCAGAAACAUAAGAACAAAAGGUUUGAUUGGGGCAAUCUAGGAACCACCCAAACUUCCGAUUUAUAAUAUAAGAAUAUACAAAACUCAAUAAGGACCAAAAAGAAGUUACCCCGGGGAUAACAGCGUAAUCCAACUUGAGAGUACACAUCGAAAGCUGGGUUUGCGACCUCGAUGUUGGCUUAAGGAUAUCCACAUAAGUGCAACCGCUAUGACAGGAUAGUCUGUUCGACUAUCAUACCCUUACACGAGCUGAGUUAAGACCGGCGUAAGCUAGGUUGGUUUCUAUCUCCUUAACUUUAACAACUUUCUUGAUUGUACGAAAGGACCCCAAGAGGUGCAACAGACAACGAGCAUAUGAUAACUUAAAUCAAACAAAGUCUUAAUAUAAUUUCUUUAUAAU